rnacentral:rRNA from 1 species
UGCAGAAUCCCGUGAACCAUCGAGUCUUUGAACGCAAGUUGCGCCCGAAGCCUUCUGGCCGAGGGCACGUCUGCCUGGGUGUCACACAUCGUCGCCCCCCCAAACCCUCCAUCCCUUCGGGGCAUUGGGGAUCUGUCGGGGCGGACAAUGGCCUCCCGUGCGCUCCCGCUCGCGGUUGGCCCAAAAAAGAGUUCCUGGCAACGGCAAGCCACGACCAGCGGUGGUUGAACGACCCUCGGCAUGAGUCGUGAGCACUUGCCCCGUAACGUGGAACGUGUUGACCCUGAAUGUGUUCGCGGCAUAUCGGAACGCUCACGAAGUGACCCCAGGUCAGGCGGGACUACCCGCUGAGUUUAAGCAUAUCAAUAAGCGGAGGAAAAGAAACUAACAAGGAUUCCCCUAGUAACGGCGAGCGAACCGGGAAGAGCCCAGCUUGAAAAUCGGGUGCCCCAGGCCCCCGA